GCCAGCAGCCAUGUCACCCUCCAGCUCCCAGCUGGCAGCCCCACUGAAACUCAGCAGGUGUGAGCCUGGCCAGUACCUGGAUGGUAGACGUCCUGGGAAAGCUAAGGUUGCUGCUGGAA
rnacentral:rRNA from 1 species